rnacentral:rRNA from 1 species
AUUGAACGCUGGCGGCAGGCUUAACACAUGCAAGUCGAGCGGAGCGAAGGUGCUUGCACCUUAGCUUAGCGGCGGACGGGUGAGUAAUGCUUAGGAAUCUGCCUAUUAGUGGGGGACAACGUUUCGAAAGGAACGCUGAUACCGCAUACGUCAUACGGGAGAAAGCAGGGGAUCUUCGGACCUUGUGCUAAUAGAUGAGCCUAGGUCGGAUUAGCUAGUUGGUGGGGUAAAGGCCUACCAAGGCGACGAUCUGUAGCGGGUCUGAGAGGAUGAUCCGCGACACUGGGACUGAGACACGGCCCAGACUCCUACGGGAGGCAGCAGUGGGGAAUAUUGGACAAUGGGCGAAAGCCUGAUCCAGCCAUGCCGCGUGUGUGAAGAAGGCCUUUUGGUUGUAAAGCACUUUAAGCGAGGAGGAGGAGCUUCAGGUUAAUACCCUGGAUGCUUGGACGUUACUCGCAGAAUAAGCACCGGCUAACUCUGUGCCAGCCGCCGCCGUAA